UCUCCGUUGGUGAACCAGCCGAGGGAUCAUUACCGAGUGCAAACUCAUAACCCUUUGUGAACCUAUAUCUGUUGCUUCGGCGGCUCGCUCUCGGGCGAGCCCGCCGGUAAUAUCAGUAUCUCUGUUUGAACCCGACGAUACUUCUGAGUGUUCUUAGCGAACAGUUAAAACUUUUAACAACGGAUCUCUUGGCUCUA
rnacentral:misc_RNA from 1 species